AACGAACGCUGGCGGCGUGCCUAAGACAUGCAAGUCGUACGGAAAGGCCCCCUUCGGGGGGCACUCGAGUGGCGCACGGGUGAGUAACGCGUGGGUAAUCUGCCUUAGGGUCUAGGACAACCCCGGGAAACUGGGGCUAAUACUGGAUAAGACCACGAGCUCUUCGGAGCUUGCGGAAAAAGAUGGCCUCUCCUUGGAAGCUAUCGCCCUUCGAUGAGCCCGCGUCCCAUUAGCUAGUUGGUGGGGUGAUGGCUCACCAAGGCUUUGAUGGGUAGCUGGUCUGAGAGGAUGAUCAGCCACACUGGAACUGAGACACGGUCCAGACUCCUACGGGAGGCAGCAGUCGGGAAUUUUGGGCAAUGGGCGAAAGCCUGACCCAGCAACGCCGCGUGAGGGAUGAAGGCCCUCGGGUCGUAAACCUCUGUCGGGAGGGAAGAACGGUCGCCGUUCGAACAGGACGGGAGCCUGACGGUACCUCCAAAGGAAGCACCGGCUAACUCCGUGCCAGCAGCCGCGGUAAUAC
rnacentral:rRNA from 1 species